GUAGUUUGUGUGUGGAUGGUGCUCAGCUCCAAGGAUUUGCGUUUGGCUGUGUGUGGAUGGUGAUCAGCACCAAGGACAGAUGUGUGUAGUC
rnacentral:pre_miRNA from 1 species